rnacentral:rRNA from 1 species
CUGGAAACAGAGAAGUGCCUCGCAAGAGGGAAUUCGGUGGACAGGGUGCUGCAUUGGCUGUCGUCAGCUCGUGUCGUGAGAUGUUGGGUUAAGUCCCGCAACGAGCGCAACCCUUGUCUUUAGUUGCCAUCAUUAAGUUGGGCACUCUAAAGAGACUGCCGGUGUCAAACCGGGAGGAAGGUGGGGAUGACGUCAAGUCCUCAUGGCCUUUAUGACCAGGGCUACACACGCACUACAAUGGCAGGUACAAAGGGCAGCCACUUAGCGAUAAGGCGCGAAUCCCGUAAAACCUGUCUCAGUCCGGAUUGAAGUCUGCAACUCGACUUCAUGAAGGCGGAAUCGCUAGUAACCGCGAAUCAGCAGGUCGCGGUGAAUACGUUCCCGGGCCUU